AAUAGAUACCCUGGUAGUCCACGCCGUAAACUAUGGAUGCUAGCUGUUAGAAGUAUCGACCCUUCUAGUAGCGAAGCUAACGCGUUAAGCACCCCGCCUGUGGAGUACGGCCGCAAGGCUAAAACAUAAAGGAAUUGACGGGGACCCGCACAAGCGGUGGAGCGUGUUGUUUAAUUCGAGGCUAAGCGAAGAACCUUACCCAGGCUUGACAUCCUCGGAAGUUCUGCGAAAGCAGAAUGUGCCUUCGGGAACCGAGUGACAGGUGCUGCAUGGCCGUCGUCAGCUCGUGUCGUGAGAUGUUUGGUUAAGUCCAUCAACAAGCGCAACCCUUGUGGCUAGUUGGAUUUUUCUAGUCAGACUGCCCUGGUAACAGGGAGGAAGGAGGGGAUGAUGUCAGGUCAGUAUUGCCCUUACGUCUGGGACUACAAACACGCUACAAUGGCCGGUACAAAGGGCAGCCAAGUCGCGAGACGGAGCAAAUCCCAUCAAAGCCGGUCCCAGUUCGGAUUGCAGGCUGAAACUCGCCUGCA
rnacentral:rRNA from 1 species